rnacentral:ncRNA from 1 species
UGACCUCGGAUCAGACGUGAUUACCCGCUGAAUUUAAGCAUAUUAUUAAGCGGAGGAAAAGAAACUAACAAGGAUUCCCCUAGUAACGGCGAGUGAACGGGGAAGAGCCCAACACCGAAUCCCUUGGCGCAAGUCAACGGGAAAUGUGGUGUUAAGGUAGCCCUUCGUGUCAGUCUAGGCGUCUCAAGUCCACCUGAUUGUGGCUCAAGCCCAGAGAGGGUGUAAGGCCCGUAGAGACGCUCCGACUGAUUCCUGGGGUUUACCUACGAGUCGG